rnacentral:sRNA from 15 species
CGCUUUCGAGAGUGGCGUUCAGUUGCUCUUGGUCAGUCGUUGUGUGCGGAGCGCCCCAGAGCAGUAGCCCCCCAGAGAGUCUUUGUCGCUGACGCUGUCGCUGUCGCUGUCUCCGUGUGUCAGUCUCCGUCUGCGUCUCCGUCUCCGUCGUCCGUCGGAAUCUCAUUCUGAAUCUCAAUCGCAUAGGAAAUAGUGCGAGAGCAGGAAGAGUUUUUGUUCGUGAGAAUCGAGGCGACAACCGUGCGACGGAUUUCCGCGCCAAAGACAUCAUCAUCAAAACCAAACUCAAACGCAAACUGAAACCAAAACUCCAAGAAGUACUCUGAGAAGCUUCACUACCAGCAGCAACAGGAAGCGGGCUAAGGAAAUCACCAGCAUCCUUGCCAAUUGUGCAGCAGAGUGCUGGCUGCAGGCCAAGCUCUGAGAGGAGUGGCAGCAACAGCAGCAUCCAGUGGCAACUUGUUUUGUAUAUCCAUAAGCGGCAAACAACAAACAGAACGAGUGCCUUCCUGGCAAUCACCUGGCGCCGGUCUGCCAGCCCGACCCUUCGUUACCCCCAUCUUCCC